GGAAAUAUAUUAUCUAGAGUCCCGACCGGUACCCGUCCUACCUGAAACACCCUCAAAUUUUAUUCGAGGUGAACUCUCCCAAAUUCGAGGUGAACUCUCACAAAUUCUCUAUCUGUGAAUACAUGUGAGUGGAGAAAAAAAAGCAAAAUGGGGGAUUGGGCUAAAAAGAAACUUAUGGAAUUUUUGUGACCUGUCAAAAAUGACAAUCAAUUUUGCAAAACAAAACAAUGGGUUUCGGAUUUUUAGAGUAAGGUUUUGUUAAUUGUUUUGAUUUUUAAUAUAAUUUGAUAUUUUUCAGACCAAAAUUCUUUAUAAUGCAGAGGGUAUAUACAAGUUCACUUCAUUGAAUAAAAAUUAAGUCAAAUUGCAGUGAAGGAGGUGCAACAAUAAUGGAUUUAUUUUAUAUUUUAGAUAGUGCCAAAAUGCAGGAAGCAAUUUCCUUUAAGUAAUUUGGAAAGCAAACCAAACAAGGCGCUGAUUUGCAGGUAAGUUUUUUGUAUAUUAUAUUUCUCUUAACAAAAUAAUAUCAAUGUUUUUAACUACAGAUACUGUCCAUUGUUUUUGUAUGUACUUCUCAACUGCAAUAGCUGCCGCAGGUGUUGACGGCGGAGGUGUCACCAUCAAAACCAUUAGAAACAACACGACCAAGUCAAUGAUGCAAGUGGAAGUUUUGCCAUGUAAUAGUCGACCGCUGACGCCCUUCUCCAUCAAUUGUGUAAGUGUAAAGAGUACUACCAGUCUGCAGUUCUGCAAGAGACGCAAACAAAACAAGAAUACAAUCGCAGGAAGACUCCAAAAAAUGUCCAACCCUGACUGAUCGCACUGGCUUAACGGUGUCAAUCAUUCGGAGGCAAAUGAGCUGGCCCGACAAGAAUCCCCCAAGAAGCCAAACAGAUUCAGAUCAGUCUCUCGGCAGCUACUGACAAUGUCGGCGAAUUAAAUCCAUCGAUUUUCACACAGAAAAUCAACAUCAAAAAAAUCACGACAAUUCAGCUGCGUCAUGGUCAACCUGCCGAUCAACCAUUCACAGUGAACAACCUCUAUUCGUAGCAGAAGCGAUCUCUGCGUUGUCGACAAUGCGAACACAAUGUCAUCAAGCCGGAGUACCAUCCAGGAUCGAUCAAGUAUCGCAUUCAAUUGUUUGCUAACUACCAUGUGCCAGACGUUCUGCUUGUGCGUUGUGAAAAGCCACUGAAGCCUGGCACGUCCACUGAAUUGAUCCUCAAGCUAACUAAUCCAACGAUGUACCAUAUGACCACAACCAUUAUGAAACUGCUAACCAAGGAAGAAGAACGGCGAAUGAUCGGCUUCGAAUAAAAGUUCAACGAAAGGAACCAAAAUUCACCACUUGGAGAAAGUCCAAUAACGUAACAAUUAAAUUGAACUUCACACCUGAAGAAGGAUUGAAACCAGGCGAUGAUGUUACCCUUAGUUUCUUGAUGAAAUAUACUUUUGUGAAUACAUACACACGCCCGAAAAGAAAGAAUGUCAAAAACACGCAUUAUCAUCGAAAGUUUUUGUAAAAGUUGGUCAAAUUGAAGCCUAGAUUUAUUUCUAUGUAUAUCUAGAAAAUAAUCUUUUUUGCAAAAAACUUGUUUAUUUAU